rnacentral:rRNA from 1 species
GUCGAGCGGCAGCGGGGAGUAGCUUGCUACUCUGCCGGCGAGCGGCGGACGGGUGAGUAAAGUCUGGGGAUCUGGCUUAUGGAGGGGGAUAACCAUUGGAAACGGUGGCUAAUACCGCAUGAUGUCGCAAGACCAAAGUGGGGGACUUUAGGGCCUCACGCCAUAAGAUGAACCCAGAUGAGAUUAGCUAGUAGGUGCGGUAAUGGCGUACCUAGGCGACGAUCUC